GCAAGCCGAGGCCAUGGAGGGAAUAGCGGCAGAGAGUAGACCUCGCUUCGUUACCUCAUCCUCUCGCUUUAUGUUUUGGAUUGCGGAUUCGGGAAAAUGGAGCUCUUUCAGUUCGUUGAAUCAUCCCAAGUUCAGUUGAGAGACUCUCAGGACAAUCAAGGGACUGGAGCUCCUCCCAUAUCAUGAUGCUGAAUGCUUUUUCUGGAGGUAAUGUAUCAUGAUGAGAGAGAGAUAAAGAUGGCAUCAUUUAAAGUAAAAGGAGAGGAAAAGUAUUUUUAUCAAAUAAAGAAGAGAGCUGCACUAAAUUUUUCCAGGCUUUAUUGGGAAGGGGGCCUCCUUUGUUAACGUUGUCACCAAACUAGUUCAGACCAUGGACAUCAGAAAAAAGGAAAGGCCAAUUUACCUGCAUUGUUUGUAAACUGUUGGUUAUGGGCAGCUGAAAAAGAAGGAAGGGCUUUUAAAUGCUGUUGUUUAAGAUAGGGUUAAUUACAGAAUCCCCUGAGGUUUUAGAA